GACGAACGCUGGCGGCGUGCUUAACACAUGCAAGUCGAACGGUAAGGCCCUUCGGGGUACACGAGUGGCGAACGGGUGAGUAACACGUGGGUGAUCUGCCCUGCACUUCGGGAUGAGCCUGGGAAACUGGGUCUAAUACCGGAUAGGACCACUGCCUGCAUGGGGGGUGGUGGAAAGCUUUUGCGGGGUGGGAGGGGCCCGCGGCCUAUCAGCUUGUUGGUGGGGUGAUGGCCUACCAAGGCGACGACGGGUAGCCGGCCUGAGAGGGUGACCGGCCACACUGGGACGGAGAUACGGCCCAGACUCCUACGGGAGGCAGCAGUGGGGAAUAUUGCACAAUGGGCGCAAGCCUGAUGCAGCGACGCCGCGUGAGGGAUGACGGCCUUCGGGUUGUAAACCUCUUUCAGCACCGACGAAGCGCAAGUGACGGUAGGUGCAGAAGAAGGACCGGCCAACUACGUGCCAGCCGCCGCCGUAA
rnacentral:rRNA from 1 species